CAUAUGGAAGACCCGGUCGAAAAGGAGGAGACGGACGCUUUGACAGAGACAGGCCACAAGGCAGAGUAGGCGGUGGGAGAGGGGGAGGCAGAGGCCGAGGUGGAGGUGGAGGCAACAACGGAGGCAAAAGCCGUUCAGGCUGGUAUAAAGUAACGAUACCACAUGGAAAGAAAUAUGACAAGAAAUGGUUAUUGCCAGCUCUUCAGAACAUCUGUACGGUUCCCUACACACCAGUACAGUACCAUGUUGACCAUACCAGGGCCCAUUUUUAUGUGGAUGAUUCCUCUACUGCCAACGCUUUGCACAAAUGUACUCACAAGAUCACAGACACGGAUGGAUAUAAGGUAUGUUG